CAGUAACACGUGGACAACCUGCCCUGAGGACUGGAAUAAUCCCGGGUAACUGGGGGUAAUUCCAGAUAUGUCAGAACUCCUGGAAUGGGUUCUGGCAGAAAGGCUCCGGCGCCUCAGGAUGGGUCUGCGGCCUAUCAGGGUAGUAGUGGGUGUAACGUACCUACUAGCCUACGACGGGUACGGGUUGUGAGAGCAAGAGCCCGGAGAUGGAUUCUGAGACAUGAAUCCAGGCCCUACGGGGUGCAGCAGGCGCGAAAACUUUACAAUGCGGGCAACCGCGAUAAGGGGACCUCGAGUGCUGGGUUACAAACCUGGCUGUUGGGCUGCCUAAAAAGCAGUCUAUAGCAAGGGCCGGGCAAGACCGGUGCCAGCCGCCGCGGUAACACCGGCGGCUCGAGUGGUAACCGCUGUUAUUGGGUCUAAAGGGUCUGUAGCCUGCCGGCUAAGUCUCUUGGGAAAUCUGGCAUCUCAAGUGUCAGGCUGCCAGGGGAUACUGGUCAGCUUGGGACCGGGAGAGGUGAGAGGUACCUCAGGGGUAGGGGUGAAAUCUUGUAAUCCUUGAGGGACCACCAGUGGCGAAGGCGUCUCACCAGAACGGAUCCGACGGCAAGGGACGAAAGCUAGGGGCACGAACCGGAUUAGAUACCCGGGUAGUCCUAGCCGUAAACGAUACUCGCUAGGUGUCGGCCACGGUGCGACCGUGGUCGGUGCCGUAGGGAAGCCGUGAAGCGAGCCACCUGGGAAGUACGGCCGCAAGGCUGAAACUUAAAGGAAUUGGCGGGGGAGCACA
rnacentral:rRNA from 1 species